GCUAAUGAGGCCCUCUUCACCGGAAAACGAAAUGCAGCCAUCAAAGGCUUUGAAGCUUUUGUGAUGGAGCAGGGCCUGCAAGACAGGGUGACGGCGGCCUUUGUAAAAAAAAAAAUGGGAAAACCUCAAACAAAAAUAUAAAGAUCACAAAUGUCCAGCAACCGGU